UAACCUGAUGACCCUGAUGUCUGAGCCAGGGAGAAGAGACUCCAUGAAGGAAAGUGAGUUAGCGUACUAAUCAGAGCUACGCUAAAAAAUUGUGGAAUAUCACCGUGUUCAUGAGACGUUCAACAUUUCACAAAUCUGGAAGUUCAAAUCCUCUGACACAAAUCCUCUAACACAGCACCGAUUUCACAAUAUGGAACUUCACCAAACAUUAGUUAGAUUAGCAUUCGAUGCUAUCUGUGCCUUGACUAACAUAUCCAAGGUAUGACAGGAAGUCAGUGCUCUACAGCGAUACACACUUAACAGGUUUGUUGUGUUGGUUAAGAUGGUGGAGACGAGGAGGAAGAAGAGGAGGAAGAGGAGAAAGAGGCGGAGGUGUGACAGUAUUUCAGAAUCUUGUCCCGAUCAAUACGUCCCUGAAUAAAGUCCUUGAAGUGUGUAAAGUGUGUUUUUCCCGGGAGGUCUGACGAGUUGGACGAGUCGGUGUUCAUCAGGAGGUUUCAGGUUUAACGGCCGUUUUUUACGACAUCACUCUGCGGGUUUUGGUUAUAGACCGAGGGCAGAGUCAGGGAUGAAAAAUCCUUUUAAUUUUCUCUCUGCGAAACUUCCCGAGGUGAUG